AAGCGACCAAGCGUACACGGUGGAUGCCCUGGCAGUCAGAGGCGAUGAAGGACGUGCUAAUCUGCGAAAAGCGCCGGUAAGGUGAUAUGAACCGUUAUAACCGGCGAUGUCCGAAUGGGGAAACCCAGUGUGACUCGUCACACUAUCAUUAACUGAAUCCAUAGGUUAAUGAGGCGAACCGGGGGAACUGAAACAUCUAAGUACCCCGAGGAAAAGAAAUCAACCGAGAUUCCCCCAGUAGCGGCGAGCGAACGGGGAGGAGCCCAGAGCCUGAAUCAGCAUGUGUGUUAGUGGAAGCGUCUGGA
rnacentral:rRNA from 5 species